rnacentral:rRNA from 1 species
GAAAGCGUCAGACUGGAACGCGCCUGACGGUGAGGGACGAAAGCCAGGGGAGCGAACCGGAUUAGAUACCCGGGUAGUCCUGGCCGUAAACGAUGCAUACUAGGCAAUGGUGCGGCCAUGAGCCGCAUCAGUACCGUAGGGAAACCGUUAAGUGUGCCGCCUGGGGAGUACGGUCGCAAGGCUAAAACUUAAAGGAAUUGGCGGGGGAGCACCACAAGGGGUGAAGCCUGCGGUUCAAUUGGACUCAACGCCGGGAAACUUACCAGGGGAGACAGCAGAAUGACAGUCAGGUUGACGACCUUACUCGACGAGCUGAGAGGAGGUGCAUGGCCGUCGCCAGUUCGUGCUGUGAGGUAUCCUGUUAAGUCAGGCAACGAACGAGAUCCGCGCCUUUAUUUGCCAUCAAGAAGUCACGACUUUGUUGGGAACACUAAAGGGACCGCCGUCGAUAAGACGGAGGAAGGAGCGGGCAAAGGCAGGUCAGUAUGCCCCGAAACCCCUGGGUUACACGCGGGCUGCAAUGGUGCGAACAAUGGGCUGUAACUCCGAAAGGAGAAACCAAUCCCGAAACUCAGCAUCUCAGUGGGGAUUGUCGACU